UACGUAGGGUGCAAGCGUUGUCCGGAAUCAUUGGGCGUAAAGAGCGUGUAGGUGGCCCGAUCAGUCCGCUGUGAAAGCCCAGGGCUCAACCCUGGAAUGCCGGUGGAUACUGUCGGGCUAGAGUCCGGAAGGGGCGAGUGGAACUCCUGGUGUAGCGGUGAAAUGCGCAGAUAUCAGGAAGAACACCGAUGGCGAAGGCAGCUCGCUGGGACGGUACUGACACUGAGACGCGAAAGCGUGGGGAGCAAACAGG
rnacentral:rRNA from 1 species